UAAAAUUUAAAAUGUGAAAAAACCAGAAGAGCACUUACACAAAUCGGCACACAAAAUGCCUCGUUAGGCUAAUAGCAGAUAUGCCUAACGUCGAUAUAUCAGCCAAGGCACAUACACGCACAACGUUAUGCGAGACAAUGCUACUAGGAAAGCCCUGUAAACUGAUGUGACGCUCUCCGUAGGAUGGAACAACUUCUGCUGCUGGAGUUACACAAACAAAAUGUGUUUCUGGCGAGCACACGACCCUCGGGAGGGUAUAGUUGUUGACAACACACUUGCACACUUAUUUCGAUAUUUGGAAUGAUGGCAUCUUCUACUUCUACGAAUCACAAGGCGACAACUCUACUUAAUAUGGCGAACAAACCUCUACUCUGGUUCACAGCCAUCCUUGACGGACAGCGUACAGCUUUUGACGGGCUUUCCUAGGUUUUUAUAGAGGUGACAUACUACAGGUUAUUACACGCACAUAUUCACGCACUACACAUUCACAAUUUCUCGUUAAAUAACUCAAGGCUAAUGGCGAGUCCGUUGGUAUGGCGAACACACAUUUUAAUGUUUAAUACAAUUCUAGCAUGUUAAUAAAUAUAAUUAAAGAAAUGACAA